GCCUGGGUGGCUCAGUCGGUUGAGCGGCUGACUUCGGCUCAGGUCAUGAUCUCGUGGUCCGUGAGUUCGAGCCCCGCGUCAGGCC
rnacentral:tRNA from 1 species